AACGAACGCUGGCGGCAUGCCUAACACAUGCAAGUCGAACGAAGGCUUCGGCCUUAGUGGCGCACGGGUGCGUAACGCGUGGGAAUCUGCCCUUUGGUUCGGAAUAACAGCUGGAAACGGCUGCUAAUACCGGAUGAUGACGAAAGUCCAAAGAUUUAUCGCCAGAGGAUGAGCCCGCGUUGGAUUAGGUAGUUGGUGGGGUAAAGGCCUACCAAGCCGACGAUCCAUAGCUGGUCUGAGAGGAUGAUCAGCCACACUGGGACUGAGACACGGCCCAGACUCCUGGGGGAGGGAGGAGUGGGGAAAAUUGGAAAGGGGGCCGAAGCCUGAACCAGCAAGGCCGGGUGGGUGAUUAAGGCCCUGGGUUUGUAAAGCUCUUUUCCCGGGGAAGAAAAUAACGGUACGGGGAAAAAAAGCCCCGCUAAACUCCGU
rnacentral:rRNA from 1 species